GCGUCCGUGGUGUAGUCAGCAACACGCCACUUUGCCACGGUGGCGACGCGGGUGCGACUCCCGCCGGACGCU
rnacentral:tRNA from 1 species